CGUCGUUGCUGAAAAAAACCAUCGGACACCCUAUCUUUCUCUCUGACUCUCUCAUUUCCAAAAUCUAUUGCCGCUACUAAAAACCCGAUGAUCAAUCACAUAGUUUUCUUACCUUUGAUUUUUCAUUUUGGGGCUUAUUUUGUUCAUCAUGUUAAUCUUGGUGAUGUUCUCCAUGAUUUUUAAUUUGAUUUCGUUCCCAGGGAAGAUGAAUCAACAAUUUUAGGAAAUAAAAAUCAGAUUGCAGGUAUGAUUUUGUGAGUCCCCGAAUAAUCAAAUUUUAGUUCGUUGUUGGUAUCAAUAAUUAUUAUUUUUACUUGCUUCUCUCCCUAUCUUAGUGAAACAGUUGUGGGGAAUGGUGGCGUAAGGGAUUAGGUUUGCUUAUAAUGUUGUUGAAGGUAAUAAUAAUAUUAUUUGUUUUGUACUUCCAGCUUUGAACCUGGGUUUCUUAAAAACAAUAAUUAGUUAAAGAAUUCAAAUUUGUGUAUUGGAUUUACUAUUUUUGUUCUUCUUUUUCUUCCAAAUAAGAAGAACCGUGAUCAGAAUCAUCAAAACCUUUUUUUCUUCCAUCCAAUUUCCUUCUUACCGACUUUGGUCUUAUCUUUCACAACAAUCGUCAUUUGGUCAAGGAAUUUCAUCGAUCUCUCAAAAUUCACUGGGUAAAAUCAUAAAAGUCAUACAGGUUUGGAUCUUCAAAUUUUUGUUGGUUUCUUGGAGUUCUUUUUUGCUUGCUGUCAUUAAGAAUUUGAGUGGUUCAUUGUUAACUAAGGGCAACUUCGUGUUGAUGGGGUGAUUUUCAAUUGCAUAUUUACACAACAUUAGAUUUACCAUCGAUGUCAUUUGUGGAGAGACAUACAGUUAUCUAGGAUUUAAUUAGCAGUUUAUGAUUUCGUGAUCGUAGCAGCAUUUUAGGUUCGUUUCAUUUAUGGCUUGAAUUCAAUAGUGCAUGUCUUUUAAUAUCAAGUUUCGGUAUUUUGUUCUUCAAACUCUUUUUUUUUAAUAUGUUGUUAAUGUUUCUGAGUUCUUACUGAUUUGGUUGCAAUCCAAACCAUUUCAGAAUGGUUCAAAAAGUAACAAAGUUUCUUAGCUCCAUUGGACAUCACUUUGCAUCGAUCAGUCCUAUCAUGUCCCCUUUCGUGUUCCGUCAUUUUCCGAUUUGGUGUUACACCCUUACAGGGUUGUUAAUGGAGUUAUUAUGGUUAUUUUUAUGUAAGCACUUGAACCCGAUGUCGUUCAUUCAGUGCAAAGAAGGGAAACCACGAUAUAUAUACUCAUCUUAGGGUCAGCCAGCCAUGGUCUUUGUCCUUUUGUUCAUUCUUUGGAGGUUACAUCGCGCCACUCAGUCAUGUAACUGUACUAUUGUCAAUGAAGAGAAUUCGAUUCAACAAUGAGUCAUCAAGGAUGACAAUAUGUUACCGAGGAUUUGCAAGUAUAUUGGGUGUUUUACUAGCAAAGGCCAAAGGUCUCUUUGGAAUGAAUGAAAAAUCUUUACAUCGUUGUAGAAGGACCAUGGUGAAAAAACUAACAAAGAAUGGUGAAAACACUUAAGAUGUCAACACAACUUGGCAAUGCACGUUGAAUGAAACAAGUUGAGAUCCAAGCAGCAGAUGGCACUGAUCUAACGUGUUUGAAACUAUUCCAAAUAACAUAAAACUCAGGUGUUUGAUGAACAUUGCAACAAACUUGACAAAAGAAUUCCAUCAUGGGAAUGGACGCAUCGGUACUGAAUGCUAAUUAUUUGAUUGUGUUUACCUAAGUUUGUCAAUGAAUUCAACCGCACAACUCCUAGGUCUAUAGAGUUGAUCAUUUGUCCAUGAAAAAUUUAUUUUCAUUUCUUAAAUCAGAAGUAAAGUGAAUCUUAUAACAAUUGUUAAGUUCCUUUGGUUAUAUGUCUUAUUUUAU